rnacentral:rRNA from 1 species
GUCGAGAAUAAUUCACAAUGGACGAAAGUCUGAUGGUGCAACGCCGCGUGAAGGAUGACGGUCUUCGGAUUGUAAACUCCUGUCAUCCGGGAGUAAGACCUGGCUGUGAAUAGCAGACAGGGUUGAUAGUACCGGAAGAGGAAGGGACGGCUAACUUCGUGCCAGCAGCCGCGGUAAUACGAAGGUCCCGAGCGUUGUUCGGAAUCACUGGGCGUAAAGGGAGCGUAGGCGGCGUGGUAAGUCAGAUGUGAAAUCCCGGGGCUCAACCCCGGAACUGCAUCCGUUACUGCCGUGCUAGAGGAUUGGAGAGGUAGCUGGAAUUCUUGGUGUAGCAGUGAAAUGCGUGGAGAUCAAGAGGAACACUCGUGGCGAAAGCGAGCUACUGGACAAUAUCUGACGCUGAGGCUCGAAGGCCAGGGUAGCGAAAGGGAUUAGAUACCCGAGUAGUCC